CUAGACGAACUGCCGUUGACAAAACGGAGGAAGUGGGGAUGACGUCAAAUCAUCAUGCCCCUUAUGUUCUGGGCUACACACGUGCUACAAUGGCCGGUACAGACGGACGCAAAGCCGCGAGGUGGAGCAAAUCCUAAAAGCCGGUCUCAGUUCGGAUUGCAGGCUGCAAUUCGCCUGCAUGAAGUCGGAAUUCGCUAGUAAUCGCAGGUCAGCAUACUGCGGUGAAUCCGUUCCCGGGCCCUU
rnacentral:rRNA from 1 species